GUCUCUUCAGAGAUAUACGAUAAAAUUAAAAUGAUACAGAAAAGAUUAGCACAGCCCAUUCACAAAGAUGACAUACAUAAAUUGAGAAAUGUCCUAUGCAAGG